UAACUGUUCAGGUAUUGACGGUAUUUAACCAGAAAGCCACGGCUAACUACGUGCCAGCAGCCGCGGUAAUACGUAGGUGGCAAGCGUUGUCCGGAUUUAUUGGGCGUAAAGCGAGCGCAGGCGGUUUUUUAAGUCUGAUGUGAAAGCCUUCGGCUCAACCGAAGAAGUGC
rnacentral:rRNA from 1 species